UCCUGAUGACUUAGCUGGUAAAGAAUCUGCCUGCAAUGCAGGAGACCCCAGUUCAGUUCCUGGGUCAGGA
rnacentral:tRNA from 1 species